rnacentral:rRNA from 1 species
UUGGAGGGCAAGUCUGGUGCCAGCAGCCGCGGUAAUACCAGCUCCAAUAGCGUAUAUUAAAGUUGUUGCAGUUAAAAAGCUCGUAGUUGAAUUUCGGGAUCAAUUUAUUGGUCGUGCUAUUGUACGUACUGGUAUUAUUGAUUCCUACCUUCUGACGAACCAUGAUGUCAUUAAUUUGGUGUCAUGGGGAAUCAGGACUGUUACUUUGAAAAAAUUAGAGUGUUUAAAGCAGGCUCACGCUUGAAUACAUUAGCAUGGAAUAACGAAAUAGGACGUUUGAUUCUAUUUUGUUGGUUUCUAGGAUCGACGUAAUGAUUAAUAGGGAUAGUUGGGGGCAUUAGUAUUCAAUUGUCAGAGGUGAAAUUCUUGGAUUUAUUGAAGACUAACUACUGCGAAAGCAUUUGCCAAGGACGUUUUCAUUAAUCAAGAACGAAAGUUAGGGGAUCGAAGACGAUCAGAUACCGUCGUAGUCCUAACCAUAAACUAUGCCGACUAGGGAUCGGAUGAUGUUAAUUUUUUAAUGACUCGUUCGGCGCCUUACGGGAAAC